rfam:Shigella dysenteriae Sd197, complete genome.
GGGUGCCUGAGACUUUCUGUUUUCAGGCUAACCGGGAAUCAGAAAGACGAAGGCCCCGACCGAUAUUUCUAUCAACCGAGGCCAACGAAUGAACCAAGCAAUUCAGAUGUUAGCCUCUUACCCGCCAUCCGGCAAGGAGAAAGGCUAUGAAG